rnacentral:rRNA from 1 species
ACCCCAAGUGCCAUUCUUAACGGGAUGGCUUUUCUUUAGUGUAAAAAGCUUUUGGAAUAAGAGCUGGGCAAGACCGGUGCCAGCCGCCGCGGUAACACCGGCAGCUCUAGUGGUAGCCGUUUUUAUUGGGCCUAAAGCGUCCGUAGCCGGUUUAAUAAGUCUUUGGUGAAAUCCUGUAAUCCCACUGUCAGGCUGCUAGGGGAUACUGUUUGGCUUGGGACCGGGAGAGGUGAGAGGUACCUUGGGGGUAGGGGUGAAAUCCU